rnacentral:rRNA from 1 species
UGGGGAAUAUUGGACAAUGGGCGAAAGCCUGAUCCAGCCAUGCCGCGUGUGUGAAGAAGGUCUUCGGAUUGUAAAGCACUUUAAGUUGGGAGGAAGGGCAGUAAGCUAAUACCUUGCUGUUUUGACGUUACCGACAGAAUAAGCACCGGCUAACUCUGUGCCAGCAGCCGCGGUAAUACAGAGGGUGCAAGCGUUAAUCGGAAUUACUGGGCGUAAAGCGCGCGUAGGUGGUUUGUAAAGUUGGAUGUGAAAGCCCCGGGCUCAACCUGGGAACUGCAUCCAAAACUGGCAAGCUAGAGUACGGUAGAGGGUGGUGGAAUUUCCUGUGUAGCGGUGAAAUGCGUAGAUAUAGGAAGGAACACCAGUGGCGAAGGCGACCACCUGGACUGAUACUGACACUGAGGUGCGAAAGCGUGGGGAGCAAACA